CAUUAUUGAUUACGAAUUGUUGCUGUCUAAGUGCACGUCGGUGACUUUCAUCCAACACCCCUGUGCACUCUUGGCCUCUUGCUAGCUUCGGCUGGCUGAGGAUUUUUUACACACUCACUCGAAUGUAAUGAAAAACUAUGGUUGUGCGCAAGCACGAAUGUACAACUUUCAACAACGGAUCUCUUGGCUCUCGCAUCGAUGAAGAACGCAGCGAAAUGCGAUAAGUAAUGUGAAUUGCAGAAUUCAGUGAAUCAUCGAAUCUUUGAACGCACCUUGCACCCUUUGGCAUUCUGAAGGGUAUGCUCGUUUGAGUGUCAUUGUACUCUCAUACUCUCUGAUCCUUUUGGAUUUGGGAGCGAUGGACUUGGGUGUUGCUGCUUUACCGUGGCUCACCUGGAAUGCAUUAGUGCAUCUCUUGGUUGGGCAUAGUACGGCGUGAUAAAGUGUCUUCGCCGGCACCUCGCAAGAGGGUGGCUGACCAGGAGCUCUGUGCUUCCUAAUGGUCUUCGGACAAUCUCUGACGGCUUGACCUCAAAUCGAGUAGGACU
rnacentral:rRNA from 1 species